UGUUGGUGCUCAUAAAAGUAGGAGACUUGGUGAAGAUCCUAAGGGUAUCCCGAACAGCCUUAUACCUUAAAUACAACAGGUUGUUGUCGGCAGACUACCUAGGCUCAAUGUCUAAGCAUUGACUAUCCUACAAGGGAUGGUAUAGCGGGUGGCUUCUACUGUCGAUGCUGUUUUCCUAUCAUAUCCUAAUGCAUUGCAUCUUCUUGGUGCUUUGCCAUAUGCAAUGAAGCAAUUUGGGCUCUCCGCACCAGUGUAUGCAACAGAGCUAGUCUACAGACUAGGUCUUCUGACUAUGUAUGAUCACUAUAUUUCACACAAGAUCGUCCAACGUGAUAAGGAGCAACAUACGAUGUUUUUGAAAGGAGAAGGAAAGGGAUUUAAACAAUGAGAAUGAAGGCCAAGAUACUUGAGCUUAUAAGCUACUACCUCCAUUAGAUCCUAGUUUUUCUAGGCUUUAGUUCUUUCGGAUUAGAAGAUACAAUUUUUAAGUAACAUCUAUGUACUAUGGAU